AGAACGUCGAUAGGCAGGGUGUGGAAGCACAGCAAUGUGUGGAGCUAACCUGUACUAAUUGCCCGUAAGGCUUGACUCUAUCAU
rnacentral:rRNA from 1 species